rnacentral:lncRNA from 1 species
AAGAGAUUUGUAGAUAGAGGUUGAUAGAUGAGAAGUGCAUGAUAGAGAGUAAGUGAAGUUGAGUCAGGUUAUUAGAAGCGAUAUUUGCGAGUAAGUUAGAACGUUAGUCCUCGACAACGACGCUUUAAGUUAAGCGGGACAAGGUGGGCCCAUAACCCACAGGGUGACGAUUCAGAAAAUCGAAGAUAUGCUACGUGUUUGUGCUAUGGACUUCAAAGGCAGAUGGAAUGAAAUAGAAAAAUGAAGACUACAUGGGCGAGAGUUAUUACGAACGAUAAUGUCGACGAUGAA